AUUGAACGCUGGCGGCAGGCCUAACACAUGCAAGUCGAGCGGAGCGGCGGACGGGUGAGUAAUGCCUAGGAAUAUGCCUGGUAGGGGGGGAUAACGUCCGGAAAAGGGAGCUAAUACCGCAUACUAUCAGAUGAGCCUAGGUCGGAGUAGCUAGUUGGUGGGGUAAAGGCCUACCAAGGCGACGAUCCGUAACUGGUCUGAGAGGAUGAUCAGUCACACUGGAACUGAGACACGUUCCAGACUCCUACGGGAGGCAGCAGUGGGGAAUAUUGGACAAUGGGCGAAAGCCUGAUCCAGCCAUGCCGCGUGUGUGAAGAAGGUCUUCGGAUUGUAAAGCACUUUAAGUUGGGAGGCGUUACCAACAGAAUAAGCACCGGCUAACUUCGUGCCAGCAGCCGCGGUAAUAC
rnacentral:rRNA from 1 species